GCGCCCUUGGAGAGCAGAUUCGGCUUGCUAGAGCCGAAGUUGUGUCCCAAGCCGCAGUCUAACCGAAGGUCAGAGGUUCGAAUCCUCUCGGGCGCG
rnacentral:tRNA from 1 species